UUGGUUAAGCUAAUAAGAGCGCAGGGUGGAUGCUUGGCACUAAGAGCCGAUGAAAGACGUGAUAAGCUGCGAAAAGCUUCGGGGAGGAGCAAAUAUCCAUUGAUCCGGAGAUAUCUGAAUGGGGAAACCCGGCUGAGAAGACCUCAGUCAUCCAUACGCCAAUACAUAACGUAUGGAAGGGAACCCGCUGAACUGAAACAUCUAAGUAGGCGGAGGAAGAGAAAGAAACAUCGAUUCCCAAAGUAGCGGCGAGCGAAAUGGGAAGAGCCCAAACCAGAGUGCGUGCACUCUGGGGUUACGGACUGCAUAAGUGAGCUGAUUCGUUAAUGGAACGGUCCUGGAAAGACCGGCCAGAGAGAGUGAAAGCCUCGUACAUGAAAACGAUAGGCAGCGGCAGGAUCCAGAGUACCGCGAGACACGUGGAACCUUGCGGGAAUUCGGGGGGACCACCCCCCAAGGCUAAAUACUCCUUAGUGACCGAUAGCGCAUAGUACUGUGAAGGAAAGGUGAAAAGGACCCCGGGAGGGGAGUGAAAGAGAACCUGAAACCCUGUGUUUACAAGCUGUGGAAGCACGUUAAGGUGCAACCGCGUACUUUUUGUAGAACGGUCCGGCGAGUUGCGGAUGCUGGCGAGGUUAAGGAGUAAAGCUCCGGAGCCGAAGCGAGAGCGAGUCUUAAUAGGGCGUAAAGUCAGCAUGUGCAGACCCGAAACCGGGUGACCUAUCCAUGUCCAGGUUGAAGUUCCCGUAAAAGGGAAUGGAGGACCGAACGCACAUCCGUUGAAAAGGGUGGCGAUGAGGUGUGGAUAGGGGAGAAAUUCCAAUCGAAC
rnacentral:rRNA from 1 species